rnacentral:lncRNA from 1 species
GAAAAGGUCUGAUUCUGGCUUUGCAUCAAAGGCAGUGAAGCUGUACAUGUACAUAGUUGUUUAUAAUGUGACAGUGCUGCAUGGCAAUUUACAAACCAAAUUCAUGUUGCUGAUGAGUCUGGCUUUUUUUCUUUUCUGAAAACUUGCAUAAAUGUGUUUACAACGGUAAUUAUUUGUGCAGAUUUUGAAGAAAAAGAAUGCUGGAAAUAUGGAAGGUGGUGACAGUGGCAGCAUCACAAGUCUAGAAGGUGAUACUGUGCAGAUUCUGGAUAACUGUGGUGAGAGGACAUAUUCAGAUUAUGGUACAUGGUACGAAUAAAGAAGAUUCUGUAACAAUGGAGUCAGUGGAAAGACCAAUGGUCAUCUUGAAACUCUCCCUUGGUAGGUACCUAUAAGGCACAUAAGGCUGCCAGUGAUAUGCAUUUGCUCGUGUUUCUCUACCAUGUCAGCAACUUGCAGUAAUAUUCAAAACAUCUGUAAAGUGUUUUUAAUUAGUCUUCUGUAAAAGUAGUCAAUUUGAGGGGAAAUUAAUAAAACAAUCUUUAUAUAUCCCUUGCA